UACGUAGGGGGCAAGCGUUAUCCGGAAUUACUGGGUGUAAAGGGUGAGUAGGCGGCAUGGUAAGCCAGAUGUGAAAGCCUUGGGCUUAACCCGAGGACUGCAUUUGGAACUAUCAAGCUAGAGUACAGGAGAGGAAAGCGGAAUUCCUAGUGUAGCGGUGAAAUGCGUAGAUAUUAGGAAGAACACCAGUGGCGAAGGCGGCUUUCUGGGCUGAAACUGACGCUGAGGCACGAAAGCGUGGGGAGCGAACAGG
rnacentral:rRNA from 1 species